rnacentral:rRNA from 1 species
GGCGAACGCUGGCGGCAGGCCUAACACAUGCAAGUCGAGCGGCCGUAGCAAUACGGCAGCGGCAGACGGGAUAGUAACACGUGGGAACGCGCCCUUCGGUUCGGAAUAACUCAGGGAAACUUGAGCUAAUACCGGAUACGCCCUUACGGGGAAAGAUCUAUUGCCGAAGGAACGGCCCGCGUCGGAUUAGCUAGUUGGUGAGGUAAUGGCUCACCAAGGCGACGAUCCGUAGCUGGUCUGAGAGGAUGACCAGCAUCACUGGGACUGAGACACGGCCCAGACUCCUACGGGAGGCAGCAGUGGGGAAUAUUGGACAAUGGGCGCAAGCCUGAUCCAGCCAUGCCGCGUGGAUGAUGAAGGCCCUAGGGUUGUAAAGUCCUUUUAACGGGGAAGAUAAUGACGGUACCCGUAGAAUAAGCCCCGGCUAACUUCGUGCCAGCCGCCGCAGUAA